rnacentral:sRNA from 1 species
AUUGUUUGGAAGGAGAAGAAAAAAUACUUG